UACGAAGGUGGCUAGCGUUGCUCGGAAUCACUGGGCGUAAAGCGCACGUAGGCGGACUCUUAAGUCGGUGGUGAAAUCCUGGAGCUCAACUCCAGAACUGCCUUCGAUACUGAGAGUCUCGAGUCCGGGAGAGGUGAGUGGAACUGCGAGUGUAGAGGUGAAAUUCGUAGAUAUUCGCAAGAACACCAGUGGCGAAGGCGGCUCACUGGCCCGGUACUGACGCUGAGGUGCGAAAGCGUGGGGAGCAAACAGG
rnacentral:rRNA from 1 species